rnacentral:rRNA from 1 species
ACUCAAAGGAAUUGACGGGGGCCCGCACAAGCGGUGGAGUAUGUGGUUUAAUUCGAAGCAACGCGCAGAACCUUACCUGGGCUUAACAUCCCCUGACAGCGGCAGAAAUGUCGUGUUCCCUUCGGGGACAGGGAGAUAGGUGCUGCAUGGCUGUCGUCAGCUCGUGUCGUAAGAUGUUGGGUUAAGUCCCGCAACGAGCGCAACCCUUGCUCUUAGUUGCCACCAUUAAGUUGGGCACUCUGAGAGGACUGCCGGUGUUAAACCGGAGGAAGGCGGGGAUGACGUCAAGUCCUCAUGGCCCUUACGUCCAGGGCUACACACGUACUACAAUGGCAGAGACAAUGGGUUGCGAAGCCGCGAGGUGAAGCUAAUCCCAAAAACACUGUCCCAGUCCGGAUUGAAGUCUGCAACUCGACUUCAUGAAGCUGGAAUCGCUAGUAAUCGGAGAUCAGCACGCUCCGGUGAAUACGUUCCCGGGCCUUGUACACACCGCCCGU